UACGAAGGGGGCUAGCGUUGCUCGGAAUCACUGGGCGUAAAGGGCGCGUAGGCGGGUCUUUAAGUCAGGGGUGAAAUCCUGGAGCUCAACUCCAGAACUGCCUUUGAUACUGAGGAUCUUGAGUCCGGGAGAGGUGAGUGGAACUGCGAGUGUAGAGGUGAAAUUCGUAGAUAUUCGCAAGAACACCAGUGGCGAAGGCGGCUCACUGGCCCGGUACUGACGCUGAGGCACGAAAGCGUGGGGAGCAAACGGG
rnacentral:rRNA from 1 species